UCUAAUCUGCCCACUGAAGUAGUUAAAUGGCCGCAGUAAUUUGACUGUGCAAAGGUAGCAUAAUCAAUAGUUUUUUAAUUAAAAGCUUGAAUGAAUGAUUGGACGAGAUAAAAUCUGUCUCUUAAUAAAAAUUAGAAUUUAAUUUUUAAGUUAAAAAGCUUAAAUUUAAAUAAAAGACGAGAAGACCAUAUAGAUUUUUAUUUAAUUAAUAUAUAAAAUAUAAUGAUUAUUUAAUUUUAUAUAAAAUUUUAAAUUUUAUUGGGGUAAUAUAAAGAUUUAAAAAAUUCUUUAAAAAUUUUUCAUAAAUUAAUGUAUUUUUGAUCCAUUAUAAUGAUUAUAAGAUUAAGUUACCUUAGGGAUAACAGCGUAAUUUUUUUGGAGAGUUCUUAUUGAUAAAAAAGUUUGCGACCUCGAUGUUGGAUUAAAAUUAGUUUUAAAUGCAGAAGUUUAAAAUUUUAGUCUGUUCGACUAUUAAAUUUUU
rnacentral:rRNA from 1 species